rnacentral:rRNA from 1 species
CAGCAGCCACGGGAACACGGAGGGUGCAAGCGUUAAUCGGAAUUACUGGGCGUAAAGCGCACGCAGGCGGUUUGACAAGUCAGAUGUGAAAUCCCCGGGCUUAACCUGGGAACUGCAUUUGAAACUGUCAGGCUGGAGUCUUGUAGAGGGGGGUGGAAUUCCAGGUGUAGCGGUGAAAUGCGUAGAGAUCUGGAGGAAUACCGGUGGCGAAGGCGGCCCCCUGGACAAAGACUGACGCUCAGGUGCGAAAGCGUGGGGAGCAAACAGGAUUAGAUACCCCGGUAGUCCCUGUCUCUUAUAC